GCAUCUGUAGCUCAGUUGUUUAGAGCGCUGCACCGGAAUCGCAGGGCCGUAGGUUCAAUUCCUACCAGAGAA
rnacentral:tRNA from 1 species